rnacentral:rRNA from 1 species
CNAGCUAGAGUGUGUCAGAGGGGGGUAGAAUUCCACGUGUAGCAGUGAAAUGCGUAGAGAUGUGGAGGAAUACCGAUGGCGAAGGCAGCCCCCUGGGAUAACACUGACGUUCAUGCUCGAAAGCGUGGGUAGCAAACAGGAUUAGAUACCCUGGUAGUCCACGCCCUAAACGAUGUCAAUUAGCUGUUGGGCAACUUGAUUGCUUAGUAGCGUAGCUAACGCGUGAAAUUGACCGCCUGGGGAGUACGGUCGCAAGAUUAAAACUCAAAGGAAUUGACGGGGACCCGCACAAGCGGUGGAUGAUGUGGAUUAAUUCGAUGCAACGCGAAGAACCUUACCUGGUCUUGACAUGUACGGAAUCUCUCAGAGACGGGAGAGUGCCUUCGGGAGCCGUAACACAGGUGCUGCAUGGCUGUCGUCAGCUCGUGUCGUGAGAUGUUGGGUUAAGUCCCGCAACGAGCGCAACCCUUGUCAUUAGUUGCCAUCAUUAAGUUGGGCACUCUAAUGAGACUGCCGGUGACAAACCGGAGGAAGGUGGGGAUGACGUCAAGUCCUCAUGGCCCUUAUGACCAGGGCUUCACACGUCAUACAAUGGUCGGUACAGAGGGUCGCCAAGCCGCGAGGUGGAGCCAAUCUCACAAAACCGAUCGUAGUCCGGAUUGCACUCUGCAACUCGAGUGCAUGAAGUCGGAAUCGCUAGUAAUCGCAGGUCAGCAUACUGCGGUGAAUACGUUCCCGGGUCUUGUACACACCGCCCGUCACACCAUGGGAGUGGGGGAUACCAGAANU